rnacentral:snRNA from 1 species
GCGACUGUUUACCAAAAA